GACGAACGCUGGCGGCGUGCCUAAUACAUGCAAGUAGGACGCAGUAGCGAAGGGGUGAGUAACGCGUGGGUAACUACCUAUUAGAGGGGGAUAAGUAUUGGAACCGAUAGCUAAUACCGCAUAGUAGUAGCUGGACCUGCGGUUUAUUAGCUAGUAGGUCGGGUAAUGGCCUACCUAGGCAACGAUACAUAGCCGACUUUGUGGGGUGAUCGGCCAACCUGGGACUGGGACACGGCCCAGACUCCCACGGGGGGCAGGCGGAGGGGAUCUUCGGCAAUUGGGGGAACCCUUACCGAGCAACUCCGCGUGAUGGAAGAAGGUUCUCGGAUCGUUAAGCUCUGUUGUUAAGGAAGCGUUACUUACCCAGAAAGGGACGGCUAACUACGUGCCAGCAGCCGCGGUAAUAC
rnacentral:rRNA from 1 species